rnacentral:rRNA from 1 species
UUUGCACCUCAUAUCAAGCAAGACUACCCGCUGAACUUAAGCAUAUCAAUAAGCGGAGGAAGGUGCC